rnacentral:tRNA from 1 species
UCACUUGUAGCUCAGUUGGUAAAGAAUCCACCUGCAAUGUGGGAGACCUGGGUUCGAUCCCUGGCUUGGGAA